rnacentral:rRNA from 1 species
AUUGAACGCUGGCGGCAUGCCUUACACAUGCAAGUCGAACGGCAGCACGGGUGCCUGCACCUGGUGGCGAGUGGCGAACGGGUGAGUAAUACAUCGGAACGUACCUUAUCGUGGGGGAUAACGCAGCGAAAGUUGCACUAAUACCGCAUAAGCCCUGAGGGGGAAAGCGGGGGACCGUAAGGCCUCGCGCGAUUAGAGCGGCCGAUGUCUGAUUAGCUUGUUGGUGAGGUAAAAGCUCACCAAGGCGAUGAUCAGUAGCUGGUCUGAGAGGACGAUCAGCCACACUGGGACUGAGACACGGCCCAGACUCCUACGGGAGGCAGCAGUGGGGAAUUUUGGACAAUGGGGGCAACCCUGAUCCAGCAAUGCCGCGUGAGUGAAGAAGGCCUUCGGGUUGUAAAGCUCUUUUGUCAGGGAAGAAACAGCAGCUCUAACACAGUCUGCGAAUGACGGUACCUGAAGAAUAAGCACCGGCUAACUACGUGCCAGCAGCCGCGGUAA